rnacentral:sRNA from 1 species
CUUGAGGACUGGGAACUGGGAUCUUUUGUUUUACAAACUUGAAUACCACUUUUUUUUUUUUUUCCUUACCCACCUUUGCCACCACCCCCCAUGACUUUAAAAUGCUUUUUUUUUUUUUUUUUUUUUUUUGAGACAGAGUUGCUCUGUCGCCCAGGCUGGAAUCGCACCACUGCACUCCAGCCUGGGUGAUAGAGCGAGACACUGUCUCAAAAAAUAAAUAAAAACUGGUGAACAGAGAUAAAUCCAGAAAUUUAUGCUGAUUGUUAGGACAGAAGCAAUACAGCAGC